rnacentral:rRNA from 1 species
UAAGCGGAGGAAAAGAAACUAACAAGGAUUCCCCUAGUAACGGCGAGUGAACCGGGAAGAGCUCAAAUUUGAAAUCUGGCGUCCUCAGGGCGUCCGAGUUGUAAUCUACAGAGGCGUUUUCCGUGCCGGACCGUGUCCAAGUCCCUUGGAACAGGGUAUCAAAGAGGGUGACAAUCCCGUACUUGACACGACUACCGGUGCUCUGUGAUACGUCUUCUACGAGUCGAGUUGUUUGGGAAUGCAGCUCAAAAUGGGUGGUGAGUUCCAUCUAAAGCUAAAUAUUGGCGAGAGACCGAUAGCGAACAAGUACCGUGAGGGAAAGAUGAAAAGCACUUUGGAAAGAGAGUUAAACAGUACGUGAAAUUGUUGAAAGGGAAACGAUUGAAGUCAGUCGUGACCGAGAGGCUCAGCCGGCUCUGCCGGUGUAUUCCCCUCGGUCGGGUCAACAUCAGUUUUGUCCGGUGGAUAAGGGCGGCAGGAAUGUGGCACCCUCGGGUGUGUUAUAGCCUGCUGUCGCAUACACCGGGUGAGACUGAGGAACGCAGCUCGCCUUUAUGGCCGGGGCCCGCCCAC